rfam:Triticum urartu cultivar G1812 contig679630, whole genome shotgun sequence.
AAAAUACUCCCUCCAUCCGGAAAUACUUGUCGGAGAAAUGGAUGUAUCUAGACGUACUUUAGUUCUAGAUACAUCCAUUUUUCUUACAAGUAUUUCUGGACGGAGGGAGUACAUU